GAUAGUGGAAUAAGCAGUAAACCUUCAGAAGGCCCUAUUUGAGCUGUGCCCUCUCAGACAAUCUCCUGCUAUUAAGGAUUGAGCAUGCAGCUUGUCAUUCAGCAGGCAGGGAGAAGCUUCGAUGUUCAAGUUCCCAUUUUACAGUGCUUGGGGAGGCUCAAGCAAGAUAACACUGGAUCAACUAUGGAGUGCUGUAUACAAGCCUGGUCUCAAUUCUCCAGGAUCUCCUACCAGCAGACAUUUCUCCCUUACUUCUUCCCAGCUUAUGUAGUGCUCCCAGACUUCAGUUUUCUGCUCAUUUUAUUGUUUUUGUAUUCAGAUUGGUGGGGCUGGCACUGUCUGAAGCUUGGCUUCUUGGAGGGUGCAUCGUGUGAUCUGGGACUACAUUGAAGGCUAGUUUGUGUAAUAAACAUAAAAACAAAAAUUAGGCAUCUUGGGGUCUGUGUGGAGAGAUGGUUUUGUUUUCAGCAACCACAUGACAGCUCACAGCUGCUGUAACUCCAGUUUCAGGGGAUCUGACACCCUCAUCUGGUUUCUGUAGGCAUUACACAUAUAUGGUGUGGGAGAUACAUAGA